rnacentral:lncRNA from 1 species
UUUUUUUUGUUUUAAUAGAAACACUCGUAUUUAUUCCAUCAGAUUAAUGAUAGCAAUCAAAUAAAAGUAUAAGCAUUAUCUCCAGUCUAAAGCAACAUCACACCCACAUCAACCAUCCACAUGAAUUAGCCCAGUAGACUUUGUUAUAGCUACUCUCAAGAAUGACAUGUCAAACCCCAAAAUCUCACUGGAAGUAGUGAUACUCUCACAAAUAAAUUAAUCCCAAUAAAAAUAGUCACUCCAAUGAAUGGUAAUUGAGAGAGAAAAUAAUAAAGAAGUGAUAUCACAUGCUCUCACCAAGAUGAAAUAAAUAUGCCCUCAGCUUAGAAAUAAUACGAUCUCAAGUCAAAUAAAAUGUUAGUCAAC